rnacentral:lncRNA from 1 species
AACUGAAGACUGGAUAGGGUCUGGCACAUGCUUAAUUUUCCACUAGCAAGAGAAACUGUGCUAAAUGCCAAGAAUCCCCCAAGAUCUGUAGGGCUGGGCAGAUGGAUGGUGUGAGGACAGGCUGCUGUCUUCUGUGUCCUCUGCCCAGGGUCCCAGAUUGCCUGCUGGAGUCGAAGAGGGUGAGACUUUUCCCCUGCACUUAGCAGCAGUCUCUGUCUGUGGAAGGUUUCCCUGUGUUCUCUCACCUUGCUGGGAGACCUUUCAAAGAUCUUUGGAAGAGGUGCGAGGGUGUCUUUCCUUGAGGGUAGCUUUCUUUGCUGGCUGUCCCCUUUAUAGCCAGGAGGGACAGGGUAAACAAAGAUACUGUCAGAAUUCAGGUUGAAUGCAUCCUUGGGAUGGUGUAAGAGGUCAGAUUUCACUUGGCUUGACUGACAAUAUUAGGGUAAGGUUUUUUUCCUUUUUUGUUAGCAGGAAAAGAGUCUCAGAAAGUCCCUUUCAGAAAGCUUGUGAUGAGAUGAUGCAAGGAACUUGGCAGUUUUACAUUGGAAGCAAGAUAAUUGAUUGGAGUUUGCUAUGACACUGCAACUUGUUACAAUAAGCAGUCAGCCCUCUGCAAAAGCAGAGCAAGAGGAGAGCAGGUCUGUGCACUUCUGCUGGGGUGGAAAUUCUCUGGCUUUCAGUGUUUGCACAGUGAAUUCAAUGUCAACAUACUUACAGACAGCAGAUCUCAGAGGAGUCAGAGGCACAUUCCCAGAAGAGUUACAAUCCAGGGUUUACACUUCUAGUGAAAUGCUGUCUGAGAAGUGCUGUAAAAAGAAAGGUUGGUCAAAGGCAGGUGUUGUGUCCAUGUGGAAGCCCAGCAGCUGUAUUCCUGAUGUACUGUCUGGAAUCCACCUGGAUGGCUUUCUAGGAUAUGUUCCCAAGAGCUCUGCAAGGAGCCCAGCAGCCAGAGGUACAACGUGGGCAGGAAGAGAGAGACACACCAUCACUUACCAGCUCUGUGUCAAAGCUUUUGUAUCAGCUAGUCAGCAGCAGAAGAGGAGCAGUGCAUUCCAACAGCCAGCAACCUGUACAAGGUACUGA